AACGAACGCUAUCGGUAUGCUUAACACAUGCAAGUCGGACGGACUAAUUAGGGCUUGCUCCAAUUAGUUAGUGGCAGACGGGUGAGUAACACGUGGGAAUCUGCCCAUCAGUACGGAAUAACUUUUAGAAAUAAAAGCUAAUACCGUAUAUUCUCUACAGAGGAAAGAUUUAUCGCUGAUGGAUGAGCCCGCGUCAGAUUAGGUAGUUGGUGAGGUAACGGCUCACCAAGCCGACGAUCUGUAGCUGGUCUGAGAGGAUGAUCAGCCACACUGGGACUGAGACACGGCCCAGACUCCUACGGGAAGCAGCAGUGGGGAAUAUUGGACAAUGGGCGAAAGCCUGAUCCAGCAAUACCGAGUGAGUGAUAAAGGCCAUAGGGUUGUAAAGCUCUUUUAGCAAGGAAGAUAAUGACGUUACUUGCAGAAAAAGCCCCGGCUAACUCCGUG
rnacentral:rRNA from 1 species